CGAUGAAGGACGUGAUAAGCUGCGAUAAGCUUCGGGGAGUUGCACGUAAACUUUGAUCCGAAGAUUUCCGAAUGAGGAAACUCACUUAGAGUAAUGUCUAAGUAUCAUUAAGUGAAUACAUAGCUUAAUGAGGGGAACUCAGGGAACUGAAACAUCUAAGUACCUGAAGGAAGAGAAAGAAAUUCGAUUCCGUAAGUAGCGGCGAGCGAACGCGGAUUAGCCCAAACCAAUAAAGUUUUCUUUAUUGGGGUUGCGGACAUAUCAUAACGAAGAGGUAUCGUAAUUGAAGAGGUUUGGAAAGACCCACCACAGAAGGUAAUAGUCCUGUAUGUUAAACGAGAAGACUU
rnacentral:rRNA from 1 species